UUCAAUUUAUGGCUUUUACGUUCUCAUUGACUCCAUCAAACCACGACUCCACUGACUCGCAUUCAAGAAGAAGAUCGUCUUCCUCGAAGCUUACGAAUCUGAACCUAUAUAUAUAGACUUCAGUGAAAUUUCAUCACUUUCUCAAUCUUGUUGACUUGAAGCCCGGCAGGCGGUUCCGUCAACGCUCUCUGAUUAUACAAUGUCCAUACGCCUCUGGUCUUCUCACACCUUGGUGUUUUCAUUCUUAUCUCUAUGAAAGAUUUAAGGUAUGAUCUUCUCUUAUUUUUUGAUCAAUCACCUAGAAUACUGAAAUUUGAUGUGUUUCACGAGAUGUAUGCUCAAGGGAGAUGAUUAUAUCCUACACGAGUCGCCCUCAAUUUAUAUGUGUUGAUGUUUUGAUUCAACUUUAGGCAUUUGAAGAAGCCAUCAUUGCGCUUCACACACUGGGAGAAAAUCCUACAAAGCCAACACUCUUAUUAUGCAGUUGUUGAGAGACAAUCUAACCCUCUGGACCUCUUCACAUCCUUUUUUUCCAGCACCUUGAUUCCCUACUUGACCUUCAAAGUCAUCUUUAAAGUUUUUUUCUACUUGCAGUUUCACUUUCUUCACUAUGAGAAUCUUGUCUUGAACCAUACGUGAUAUCAGUUCUCCAUCUACAAAAGAAAGAUGUGUUAGCUUGACAGUAUUCAAUUGGUUGAAAACUCUCGGUGAGACAAUUGAUGAAACUUCUUGCAAACUUCUUGCACAUAUUGUUGUAUGCUGAUGUUAUCUUGAAUCGUUGGGUCUGCAGUCAGUGCAAGCACUUUCAGAUUUAUGAUAAGUUUUGUGAAAGGGGUUCUGAAGCUAAACAGAUGCAUGAAGACAUGAAAGACAUUCUGUUAAUUUCAAGGAUAUACAUGUAUUAUAAACCGACGU